AUUGAACGCUGGCGGAAUGCUUUACACAUGCAAGUCGAGCGGCAGCGCGGGGGCAACCCUGGCGGCGAGCGGCGAACGGGUGAGUAACAUAUCGGAACGUACCCCGUCGUGGGGGAUAACACAGCGAAAGCUGUGCUAAUACCGCAUACGACCUGAGGGUGAAAGCGGGGGAUCGCAAGACCUCGCGCGAUGGGAGCGGCCGAUAUCGGAUUAGCUUGUUGGUGAGGUAAAGGCUCACCAAGGCGACGAUCCGUAGCUGGUCUGAGAGGACGACCAGCCACACUGGAACUGAGACACGGUCCAGACUCCUACGGGAGGCAGCAGUGGGGAAUUUUGGGACAAUGGGGGCAACCCUGAUCCAGCCAUUCCGCGUGAGUGAAGAAGGCCUCGGUUGGUAAAG
rnacentral:rRNA from 1 species